rnacentral:rRNA from 1 species
UACGUAGGCAGCAAGCGUUGUUCGGAAUUACUGGGCGUAAAGCGCACGUAGGCGGCUUUCUAAGUCGGGGGUGAAAUCCUGGAGCUCAACUCCAGAACUGCCUUCGAUACUGGAGAGCUUGAGUCCGGGAGAGGUGAGUGGAACUGCGAGUGUAGAGGUGAAAUUCGUAGAUAUUCGCAAGAACACCAGUGGCGAAGGCGGCUCAGCU